AUUGAACGCUGGCGGCAUGCCUUACACAUGCAAGUCGAACGGUAACAGGUCUUCGGAUGCUGACGAGUGGCGAACGGGUGAGUAAUACAUCGGAACGUGCCCGAUCGUGGGGGAUAACGCAGCGAAAGCUGUGCUAAUACCGCAUACGAUCUACGGAUGAAAGCGGGGGAUCGCAAGACCUCGCGCGGACGGAGCGGCCGAUGGCAGAUUAGGUAGUUGGUGGGAUAAAAGCUCACCAAGGCGACGAUCUGUAGCUGGUCUGAGAGGACGACCAGCCACACUGGAACUGAGACACGGUCCAGACUCCUACGGGAGGCAGCAGUGGGGAAUUUUGGACAAUGGGCGCAAGCCUGAUCCAGCAAAUGCCGCGUGCAGGAUGAAAGGCCUCGGUUGUAACUAGCUUUGUACGGUAACGAAACGGUAGAGUCUAAUAAAGACUUGCUAAUGACGGUACCGUAAGAAUAAGACACCGGACUAACUAACGUAGCCACG
rnacentral:rRNA from 1 species